rnacentral:rRNA from 1 species
CCUACGGGCGGCAGCAGUGAGGAAUAUUGGUCAAUGGACGAGAGUCUGAACCAGCCAAGCAGCGUGAAGGAUGACUGCCCUAUGGGUUGUAAACUUCUUUUAUAUGGGAAUAAAACAGGGUAUGCAUACCCUCUUGUAUGUACCAUAUGAAUAAGGAUCGGCUAACUCCGUGCCAGCAGCCGCGGUAAUACGGAGGAUCCAAGCGUUAUCCGGAUUUAUUGGGUUUAAAGGGAGCGUAGGUGGUUUGUUAAGUCAGUUGUGAAAGUUUGAGGCUCAACCGUAAAAUUGCAGUUGAAACUGGUAGUCUUGAGUACAGUAGAGGUGGGCGGAAUGCGUGGUGUAGCGGUGAAAUGCUUAGAUAUCACGAAGAACACCGAUUGCGAAGGCAGCUCACUGGACUGCAACUGACGCUGAUGCUCGAAAGUGUGGGGAGCAAACAGGAUUAGAUACCCGGGUAGUC